rnacentral:rRNA from 1 species
UACGUAGGUGGCAAGCGUUGUCCGGAUUUACUGGGCGUAAAGAGCGCGCAGGCGGUCGUUCAAGUCGCGUGUGAAAGCCCCCGGCUCAACUGGGGAGGGUCACGCGAUACUGAUCGACUCGAAGGCAGGAGAGGGUAGUGGAAUUCCCGGUGUAGUGGUGAAAAGCGUAGAUAUCGGGAGGAACACCAGUGGCGAAGGCGACUACCUGGCCUGUUCUUGACGCUGAGGCGCGAAAGCUAGGGGAGCAAACAGG